rnacentral:rRNA from 1 species
AGUGAACGCUGGCGGUAGGCCUAACACAUGCAAGUCGAACGGCAGCACAGUAAGAGCUUGCUCUUACGGGUGGCGAGUGGCGGACGGGUGAGGAAUACAUCGGAAUCUACUUUUUCUUGGGGGAGAACGUAGGGAAACUUACGCUAAUACCGCAUACGACCUACGGGUGAAAGCAGGGGAUCUUCGGACCUUGCGCGAUUGAAGGAGCCGAUGUCGGAUUAGCUAGUUGGCGGGGUAAAGGCCCACCAAGGCGACGAUCCGUAGCUGGUCUGAGAGGAUGAUCAGCCACACUGGAACUGAGACACGGUCCAGACUCCUACGGGAGGCAGCAGUGGGGAAUAUUGGACAAUGGGCGCAAGCCUGAUCCAGCCAUACCGCGUGGGUGAAGAAGGCCUUCGGGUUGUAAAGCCCUUUUGUUGGGAAAGAAAAGCAGCAGGUUAAUACCCCGCUGUUCUGACGGUACCCAAAGAAUAAGCACCGGCUAACUUCGUG